rnacentral:rRNA from 1 species
UGGCGGACGGGUGAGGAACACGUAAGUAACCUGCCCUUUAGUUGGGGAUAACUUCGGGAAACCGGAGCUAAUACCGAAUACCUUCUAUUUUUCGCAUGAAGAAUAGAAGAAAGGAGUAAUCCGCUAAAGGAUGGACUUGCGUCUGAUUAGCUAGUUGGCGGGGUAAUGGCCCACCAAGGCUACGAUCAGUAGCUGGUCUGAGAGGAUGAACAGCCACACUGGGACUGAGAUACGGCCCAGACUCCUACGGGAGGCAGCAGUGGGGAAUUUUGCGCAAUGGGGGAAACCCUGACGCAGCGACGCCUCGUGAGUGAUGAAGUCUUUCGGGAUGUAAAGCUCUGUCGGCAGGGACGAUUAUGACGGUACCUGCAAAGGAAGCUCCGGCUAACUACGUGCCAGCAGCCGCGGUAAUACGUAGGGAGCGAGCGUUGUCCGGAUUUAUUGGGCGUAAAGCGUGCGUAGGCUGUUCAGUAAGUUAGAUGUUAAAUGCAUGAGCUCAACUCAUGUUUGCCUCUAAUACUGCUGGACUGGAGGAUGGGAGAGGAAAGCGGAACUCACAGUGUAGCGGUGAAAUGCGUAGAUAUUGUGAGGAACACCUGUGGCGAAGGCGGCUUUCUGGACCAUUUCUGACGCUGAGGCACGAAAGCAUGGGGAGCAAACAGGAUUAGAUACCCUGGUAGUCCAUGCUGUAAACGAUGGUCACUAGGUGUGGGAGGUAUCGACCCCUUCCGUGCCGUAGCUAACGCGUUAAGUGACCCGCCUGGGAAGUACGGCCGCAAGGCUAAAACUCAAAGGAAUUGACGGGGGCCCGCACAAGCAGUGGAAACAUGUGGUUUAAUUCG